rnacentral:snRNA from 1 species
AGAUGUGAAGGUGAUCUGGCCAUGAUGUGUCAUUCCAUUGAUCUCUAGGAUUGAUUCCACCAGUCUGGCUAGCUGGGCAGGUGUCCCCUUCCUUCUCACUGCUCUAUGUGCCUCCCUCCUGGAGCUGUUUGCUAAGUUGAAGAGAAUACCUUCUCCAAUAGAAGAGAGCUAUUCUUCAGUCAAGGGUAUAUAAGCAACUGUGCUCCCUUUCAAACAAGCUCUCAAGAAUCAUUUUUGGAAUUUUUCACUUAAUUUUUUGGACAGUAGCUGACUGAAAUCAGAAA